UAACUCCAUUUAUACUUAAAUAAAAAUUAUAAAAUAAUAAUUAAUUAAUAAUUUUUAUUAUUAUUAAUUUUAUAUUUAAUAUUAAAUUUUAGAAAUUAUUUUACCCAUGGAGAAGAACAGAACAAGACCAUUUAGUUCAGAUAGUGAAGAAGAAAUAGUAACUAAUGAUUUAAAAAAAAAUCGAAAAAGAAACAGAAUUAUAGAACAAUAUUCGUCUUAAAAAGAAAAAAGAACACAUUAUAGAAAGACACAUUAUAGCUUACAGUGACAUAUCACAAAUUUUUAAUAUCAGGACAUUCGUUUUUACCAAAUGAUAGAGAUUUUGGCGUGGUAGAAAUGUCAUUAAAAAAAAUAAUUAACUGUUCGUUCCUCAAGAUUAUUACAAGAUUAUUAAAAA